UACGUAGGGUGCAAGCGUUGUCCGGAAUUAUUGGGCGUAAAGAGCUCGUAGGCGGUGUGUCGCGUCGGCCGUGAAAACCUGCAGCUUAACUGUGGCUUGCGGUCGAUACGGGCAUCACUGGAGUUCGGCAGGGGAGACUGGAAUUCCUGGUGUAGCGGUGAAUGCGCAGAUAAUCAGGAGGAACACCGGUGGCGAAGGCGGGUCUCUGGGCAAUUCCUGACGCUGAGGCGCGAAAGCGUGGGGAGCAAACGGG
rnacentral:rRNA from 1 species